CAUUAGAUGACUGAAAGCAAGUACUGGUCUCUUAAACCACAUAAGUAAUUAGCAAUUACUUCUAAUGA
rnacentral:tRNA from 1 species